AACGCACAUUGCGCCCCCUGGUAUUCCGGGGGGCAUGCCUGUUCGAGCGUCAUUACAAACCCUCAAGCUCUGCUUGGCAUUGGGCGAUCGCCCCCUCCGAGGGGGUGCGCCUCAAAGACGUCGGCGGUGGCCUCGAGCCUCAAGCGUAGUAAACAACUCAGCUUGGAGUCCUCGGUGGUCGCUCGCUUCGAGAACCCAACACCUCAAAGGUUGACCUCGGAUCAGGUAGGGAUACCCGCUGAACUUAA
rnacentral:misc_RNA from 1 species